GCUGAAGUAGUUCAGUUGGGAGCGUAUUAGACUGAAGCUCUAAAGGUCCUUGGCUCAAUUUCAGGCUUUUACA
rnacentral:tRNA from 1 species